CUUUCAGGUUCCUGGGUGUCAUGCAGAUCUCGGUGGGACCUCCAAAUGAAAGAACCUAGUGGGGAAACCCCCACUCUGUUCCCGAUUCGGCGUGCACCCAAGAAUCAUGAACAAACAG
rnacentral:pre_miRNA from 7 species